rnacentral:rRNA from 1 species
ACUCCUACGGGAGGCAGCAGUGGGGAAUAUUGCACAAUGGGCGCAAGCCUGAUGCAGCCAUGCCGCGUGUGUGAAGAAGGCCUUCGGGUUGUAAAGCACUUUCAGUUGUGAGGAAGGUGGUGUCGUUAAUAGCGGCAUCAUUUGACGUUAGCAACAGAAGAAGCACCGGCUAACUCCGUGCCAGCAGCCGCGGUAAUACGGAGGGUGCGAGCGUUAAUCGGAAUUACUGGGCGUAAAGCGCAUGCAGGUGGUUUGUUAAGUCAGAUGUGAAAGCCCGGGGCUCAACCUCGGAACUGCAUUUGAAACUGGCAGACUAGAGUACUGUAGAGGGGGGUAGAAUUUCAGGUGUAGCGGUGAAAUGCGUAGAGAUCUGAAGGAAUACCGGUGGCGAAGGCGGCCCCCUGGACAGGAUACUGACACUCAGAUGCG